CCGGUCGCCAUUGGGCUAUAGUUAUCCAUACUUGAGCUAGCGCGAGCCAAACAACACUAAAUUAAAAUGGAGCCAGGACUGAACGUGGCCGGUACAAGAACAUAACGUCGAGGUUUACAAGUGGGUUGAAUUGUCCAAGAUCCCACUACCAGGCCUGUGAUGAUUACUGAUCAGAACCUGCUGUGAGCGGGAACUGAACACUUUCAUCAUCAGAUAAGCCCCCAAUCAGUGCCCCACCACUACAGAGCAGCAGCUAUUCUAGAGGACUAUAAAGUUGAGAAGGAGGACGGAGAAGAUAAGGAAGACCAAGAGCAUGGUGACAAUGAUACUGAGGAA